rnacentral:rRNA from 1 species
CAACCCAGAAUAGCAACUAAGGUCCCAAAGCCUGUGCUAAGUGGAAAAGGAUGUGAAGUCGCAUAGACAACCAGGAGGUUGGCUUAGAAGCAGCCACCCUUAAAAGAGUGCGUAAUAGCUCACUGGUCAAGUGAUUUCGCGCCGACAAUGUAACGGGGCUCAAGCACAGCACCGAAGUUCUAUCAUUCAAGCACUAUCCCGGUCGCAAGAUCCAGGAGCUUGGAUGGGUAGGAGAGCGUCGUGUGACUGGUGAAGCGGCAGAGGAAUCUAGCCGUGGAAGUCACACGAGUGAGAAUGUAGACAUGAGUAGCGAGAGAGGGGUGAGAAACCCCUCCGCCGAAAGACCAAGGGUUCCUGGGCCAGGCUAAUCCGCCCAGGGUAAGUCGGGACCUAAGGCGAGGCCGUCAGGCGUAGUCGAUGGACAACUGGUUGAUAUUCCAGUACCCGCUUUAAUUCGCCCAUAACGAAUCCACUAAUGCUAAGAGUCUGAAUCCUGUUCGGCGUAAGCCGCGUGGGUGGAUGGCUCGAACCGGUGUGGUAGUAGUUAAGCAAUGGUGUGACACAGGAAGGCAGUCCAACCCGGGCGAUGGUUGUCCCGGGGUAAGGUCGUAGGGCGUUACGUAGGCAAAUCCGCGUAACACAUGCCUGAGAGCUGAUGCCGAGCCGUAAGGCGAAGUGGAUGAUCCUAUGCUGUCAAGAAAAGCAUCUAGCGAGAAUUAUUGCGGCCCGUACCCGAAACCGACACAGGUGGUCAGGUAGAGAAUACCAAGGCGAUCGAGAGAAUCAUGGAUAAGGAACUCGGCAAAAUGCCCCCGUAACUUCGGGAGAAGGGGGGCCCUUCGACGUGUAGGAAUUUACUUCCGAAGCGUUGGAAGGCCGCAGAGACCAGGCUCAAGCGACUGUUUACCAAAAACACAGGUCCGUGCGAAGUAGCAAUACGAUGUAUACGGACUGACGCCUGCCCGGUGCUGGAAGGUUAAGGGGACUGGUUAGCCGCAAGGCGAAGCUGAGAACUUAAGCCCCAGUAAACGGCGGUGGUAACUAUAACCAUCCUAAGGUAGCGAAAUUCCUUGUCGGGUAAGUUCCGACCUGCACGAAUGGCGUAACGACUUGAGCGCUGUCUCAUCCGUAAACUCGGCGAAAUUGCAUUACGAGUAAAGAUGCUCGUUACGCGCAGAAAGACGGAAAGACCCCGGGACCUUUACUAUAUCUUGAUAUUGGUGUUCGGAACGGUUUGUGUAGCAUAGGUGGGAGACUUUGAAGCGGGCACGCCAGUGUUUGUGGAGUCAUCGUUGAAAUACCACUCUGAUCGUUUUGAACUUCUAACCUCGGUCCGUAAUCCGGAUCAGGGACAGUGUCUGGUGGGUAGUUUGACUGGGGCGGUCGCCUCCUAAAAAGUAACGGAGGCGCUCAAAGGUUCCCUCAACCUGGUUGG